CACAAGAUUUCAUCAUGCUCUGCAGUAGGGUGUGCAAUUUAAAAUGUAUAAAUUGUUUCUAAAAUUUUCCAUUCAAUAUUUUUGGACAGAGGGUUGACCGCAGAUAACUGAAACACUGAAAAGCAUAACUUCAGGAACCACUAUUCCUCGAGAAAUGCUGACUCCAGGCCUGGACAAUGAAAAGCCUGACACAUCUUCAGCCAGAAUCAAGCAAGAGUCCAGGGAUGAUGGACACAGGUCAAAAGACGGAGGAGCUGUCUUGAAGGGGCUCUCAUUACCCAAGUCUGGGAUGAUUGCAGAUCAUAAGGAGUAACAAUAAUAAUCAAAUGUAACACUGAAGAAAUGCAGAUGUUAUUAUAAUACUGAUAUUUGAAAAACAGAGAAAGAGAGAUGAGGAAGAUAAAGGAGAAAAAGAAAGAGAAGAAGUAAAAGCAAGAGAGGAAAAAAAGAAGGAAAAGGAGGCAGAGGAGAAGAAGAGGAAGAAGAGGAAAUGUGGGGAGGGGAGAGAAGAGAAAUAAGAGUGAAAG
rnacentral:lncRNA from 1 species